UAGUAAGCCAGUCGUCUUUUGCCAGGAUAUUAGGCACGUAUGUGGAUAUCCCUUAGUAAUCUUCUGAUAAAAUAAAUAAGUUGAAGUAAAGUGAAUAACUAAAGAACUCAACUUCAACGAAAAAGGAAAUCGAGAAGAGAUAAAAUAAAAGAAUGAAAACAAGUCUCAGGCAAUUAUUGUUUUUUUUCGGGGCUAAUUUUACAGUUAGCUACCAAGGCAGAAAGUGGAGGAUUUUCCCCUUCCAUCGUAUACUCUUUGGGCUUGACUAAAUACCCAUUUAAAUCGGCGUGUUUAAAUUCAGCGAAGUACCGUGCUGGCUUUUUAGUGUCUUUACUGAGCAAGAUUAAUUCAACGUCAAUCCAGCGAAUGAGUGCUUUCACCUGUAUAGUACCUAAAGCACUUUUCGGUAAAUUUAAACAUUGAAUUUCAUCUUUAGGCUCCAUCAAUCGUUCCUCACCAUUUCGCGAAAUUCUUAAACGAACCAUAUCUUCAUUAGCAUGAGACGGAUUACCAUCAAGGUGUUUAUUAGGCGAUACAAAAGACGAAUCAUGCUGCUUUAAACACCAAUAAGCAAAAUUAGCAGCACGUCGGACCAUAAUCCCAGCUUCUUUUACAAAAGGAAGAGCUGUAACGACAUGACAACAAUCAUCGUACAUUUCCAAACGAACCUUUGUACGCUUACCAUUGUAUACGUCUGUAUUCAUUUUGUGAGCGAUGUACACUAUUUCGUCUCGUAAGCGUUCGCCCGAUCCACCCAGAACAAGUGACGGCGGUAAACCACCAAGGUUUUCAGUGAAGAUAGGACUGAUCAGAGGAUGCUUUAAAUUUGCAUUAGAGGUAUAAAACUGUACUUGAAAAGGAAAUGUAGUCAAAAUGUUAGGGUCUAAACGAGAGUCCACAUUGUCAAAAUCAAUACGUGCAUGUUCUUUAUCCAUCUCUUGCAACACGGGGAUCAAAUUUUUGAUGGUCUGAAUUUUUUUACGUAUGCUGUUUUCAAUAAAGUUAGUCAAUUCUUGUUUCUUGGAAUAAUUUAGUAAUUCCUUUUCGGAUAUCGUUGAGAAAGAAUCUAAGUUAGUAAUGGGCCAAUAUCUGCUGGCUCGGUGAUGAAAUCCUUCGCUUGGAAUAUAGUCAGCAGCAUCAUCUGCAACUACAGAAGGAAGACUAUGAGUCAAAUCAACCCAAGGGGAAUCAUAAACUACUCCAGCAGGUAAGGGUAAUUUUGAAUCUCUAAUCAAAACUAGUGAUGCAACGAUUAAACCAGCACCUGAGCUAUCGCCCAUAAAUAUUAUAUUUUCUGGCUUGGUGCUUUUAAGUAGAUACAAAUAAGAUGAAAGUACAUCAUGCAAAGAGCAAGGAAAGGGAAAUUGCGGUGCUAACCGCAGAUCUGGAGCAAAGGUUCUAGCACCCAGAGCUGCAGUAUGACGCUGAAUAUGAUAAGCAUUAGUACGAACAGUACUUAAAUAAUGAGCACCUCCAUGAACAUAAAAAAUAACUUUAUCACAUUUGAGAUUGUGCCUUAUAUGAUGUCGCCUUUCAAUCCACCAGGAUUUUAAAGGUGACUUUCGAUAAAGCCACCAGUUUGAGCCCCCAAAUUGUUUAAUGCCUUCUGGUCCCAAAUAGUUUCGAAUGUAAGAAGCAGAAUCUGAUUCUGACUUUGAAUCUAUAGGUUGUGAUGUAAAUUUAAACUUAAACUCAUCCGUUAAGCUCCUUGAGCAAAAAUCUUGAACAACUUCUACUUUAUAAUCCCUGCUAUCAAUUAAAAAUUUUUUUAAAAUCGACACUCCCAAAUCAAGCAUGAAAGUUCUAUUCUUGCGUAACUCAUGAUGAGCCAGGAAACGGAAUGCUUGACUAAACGUUUUAGAUAUUCCAUCAUUAAUUGAUUCGACAGUUAACUGCUCC